CGACCGGGAGCGUGUGUGGUGCGCGCCUGCCUUGAGGCCAGGCCUCAGAGAAGGGUGUCCCAGAUGUAGGCAAAGCGUCCUCCAUGUGUUCCUGGAGGACCGUCCCAAGUCCUUCUCCAUUCUCCCAACCUCUUGGGCCUGGGAUGUCCUCCACCUUUUCAAUCUGAUUUGCUCUUUGCCAUGCAGACCUGUGGAUGAAGAGCCAGAGUCCUCCAAGGUGAAGCUGGACUGAAUAUUUCUGUCCAUAAGACUAUUAGAAUCCCCCAAAGUGGGAUACCAGUGAGGACCUCACCAGCAGCUGCUGUCUCUCCAAUGCAGCUGGACCAUGCCAUGAAGGAAGGCUCCUCGGUUACAGCCUCCCCGAGCCCGUCAGCCACGCUGCCGAGGACACGGGAAAGAAUAAGAAGCCAGAGGGAGGCGGCUGCCUGCAGGAGGUUUAGCAUAAAGGAAAUAGGAAUGGUAAUUUGAAAUUGAAGAAAACAUUUAAAAAGAGCUGUCAUUCAAGUAUGACACCCCUGAUGCCACCUGUGCUGUCCCCCAUCUGACAGAAAUGGACUGAGGCAGCUGCCAGAGGGGAUAUGAAAAAGCAAUUAACAUUUUCAGAAGGGGUGGCCUUCUAUGGUGUAACCUUGUUGUACUGAGAUUGCAGGGAAGAGACACAAAGUUUCCAGUCAUGAUCACAAGAAUAGUAUUUCCUGCUGGAGUGAUUUUUUGGUUUGUUUUUAUGAACAUCCUGGAUUAGUUUGCAAAACAUUUUACAUUUGAAGAAAUCCAAAACUCAUUUUGCCUGAAGAGUUAUAUUCUUUCAUCGUUAAAUCUGUAAAAUUACAAAUAUAAGUGUGUGUCUGCUUUACUUACUCUUCACAAAAUAGUAUGUGUCUAGAUCUGAUUGUCAUAGGCUUGUUCUCUCAGAAUUAGAAGCCAAAAGAAAAAAAAGAAGAAAAAAACUGGUGAAAGUCAGAUGGUUCAUAGUCUUUUU
rnacentral:lncRNA from 1 species